rnacentral:misc_RNA from 1 species
UCUGAGAUUUCAAGCCUUGCACUGAAAAAUUUAAAGGAAAAUAAUUAUGUUUCUCCAAAAUUGUUGCCAUUGACCCAAGAUGUUAUAAAAUUCCAAACUUUUGUAAUGAACGAAGCCCAUGAAGCUUCAGAUGCAUUGAAGAAGAAUAUCCACAUUAAGUUGAACUAUCGAAAGCUGAUCGAGUCUGUCUUAGCAUUGACAUUAUUAAUAAAUAGAAAGCGCAUUGGGGAAAUUCAGUACCUAAAAACCGAGACUUAUAAUUCAACAGUCAGUGAAAACCAGCAAACCGAGUUUCUAGAUUGUCUUUCAAAAACUGAACAAACUUUGUGCAAGAAUUACAAAAGAGUAGUGACCGGUGGAAAAGGAAGCAGACCUGUUGCAAUUUUAUUUCCACCGGACCUUCAGAAAUUCAUUGAACUUCUUCUAUGUUUCCGAAGUAUUUGUGUGACUCCGACAAAUCCGUAUUUAUUUGGCAAUCCUAACACAGAGCUGUGGUUGAGUGGCUAUCAUAUUGUGAAAAAGCUGGCGACAAAAGCUGAUGUUUCGGAUACAACUCUGUUUACAUCAACCCGUUUAAGAAAACAAAUUGCCACAUUAUUGCAAGCAAUCAAUAUUAAGGAUGACGAAAUGGAACAGUUUGCUACUUUCAUGGGACACACCAAAAAAACACAUGAAUCGUAUUAUAGGCUUCCUCAAGACUUGUAUCAGACAGCAAAAGUUGCCAAAUUACUUAUCGCUGUUAAUAGUGGACAAGUAGCAAAGUAUAAAGGAAAAUCCCUUGACGAAAUAACUUUGUCAGACAAUGAAUCAUUGCUGGAUGAAACUGGAGCAGAAAAACCUUUAUUUCAUGGUAAGAAAUUCAUAAUUAUUUAUUUUCUUUUAAGGUACCAGAAUGAAGGAAACUUUUUUAUGACAAUAAAGUUUUUUGUAAAAUCAACAACAUAAAUUCCAAUACCGUAAAAGUGAAUAUUUUGUUUGAAAAUUAAUAGGUUAAUGAAAUCGUUUGUUAUUUGCUGUCAUUAGAACACGAAGUACUGCGCCAAAUUCAUUACUGUAAUAUUGAUUCGGAACACAAACAAUAGUGCAAUGAAAAUUUUUAAAUUUCAGUUUAUUUUCAAAAUUCGCCCCGUUAAAAAAAUAUAGAUGCUUAAAUUUUCAGUUAAUACGUUAACUAGUAUCUACGAAAUAUGGAGGAAUUUAAAACAUGCUUUACUCACCACGUAACUUUAGCAAAUCAGGUUGAUAUUUCAUUAGGAUUACUAGAAAAAAUUAAUAUAUGCAGGCAUGAAGAUUUAAUAUAUAUAUUGUUUUUAGAUCAAAAUAUUAAUGAAAAUGAAAUAGAAGAGACGUGGGAACAGCAAUUCGGAGAACAAGCAAUGAAAAAUGCGGUAUUAGAUGAAAGGGAAAAUAGUAUAAAAAAAGGAAAGCGAGGAAAGUGGAAUUCAGAGCAAAAAAAUGUAUUGAAAACAGCUUUCAAAGAUCACAUAAAAAACAAAAAAGCUCCGAGAAAAGAAGAAACCGAGUUGAUAAUGAAAAAAGCUUUUGUUUAUAACUGUUAUAAAGGUUAAACAAUUGCUAAUUUACUUUAAAUAUUUUAGACUUGCACUGCGCUAGUAUAAACGUUUAAUUUUAUUUCAAUGUUUAAUAAUUAUUUUAGUCAUUCUCAGCAUUAAUUAUAAAUAAGAUAAAAUGUAAAAUAGCUAUUAACCAAAUAUUUAAUGAAGUACUCGUAUUUACUUUUGUACUUUUUUUUUCUUGCAGCUGUUUGU